rnacentral:rRNA from 1 species
AAUGAACGCUGGCGGCAGGCCUAACACAUGCAGGUCGAACGGAUCCUUCGGGAUUAGUGGCGGACGGGUGAGUAACGCGUGGGAACAUACCCUUUGGUACGGAAUUGCCUCGGGAAACUGGGAGUAAUACCGUAUGUGGUCGAGAGACGAAAGAUUUAUCGCCAAGGGAUUGGCCCGCGUUGGAUUAGGUAGUUGGUGGGGUAAUGGCCUACCAAGCCGACGAUCCAUAGCUGGUUUGAGAGGAUGAUCAGCCACACUGGGACUGAGACACGGCCCAGACUCCUACGGGAGGCAGCAGUGGGGAAUCUUAGACAAUGGGGGAAACCCUGAUCUAGCCAUGCCGCGUGAUCGAUGAAGGCCUUAGGGUUGUAAAGAUCUUUCAGGUGGGAAGAUAAUGACUGUACCACCAGAAGAAGCCCCGGCUAACUCCGUGCCAGCCGCCGCCGUAA